GCCGCGUGAACGAUGAAGGCUUUCGGGUCGUAAAGUUCUGUUGUCAGGGAAGAACAAGUACCGGAGUAACUGCCGGUACCUUGACGGUACCUGACCAGAAAGCCACGGCUAACUACGUGCCAGCAGCCGCGGUAAUACGUAGGUGGCAAGCGUUGUCCGGAAUUAUUGGGCGUAAAGCGCGCGCAGGCGGUUCCUUAAGUCUGAUGUGAAAGCCCCCGGCUCAACCGGGGAGGGUCAUUGGAAACUGGGGAACUUGAGUGCAGAAGAGGAGAGCGGAAUUCCACGUGUAGCGGUGAAAUGCGUAGAGAUGUGGAGGAACACCAGUGGCGAAGGCGGCUCUCUGGUCUGUAACUGACGCUGAGGCGCGAAAGCGUGGGGAGCGAACAGGAUUAGAUACCCUGGUAGUCCACGCCGUAAACGAUGAGUGCUAAGUGUUAGAGGGUUUCCGCCCUUUAGUGCUGCAGCAAACGCAUUAAGCACUCCGCCUGGGGAGUACGGCCGCAAGGCUGAAACUCAAAGGAAUUGACGGGGGCCCGCACAAGCGGUGGAGCAUGUGGUUUAAUUCGAAGCAACGCGAAGAACCUUACCAGGUCUUGACAUCCUCUGACAACCCUAGAGAUAGGGCGUUCCCCUUCGGGGGACAGAGUGACAGGUGGUGCAUGGUUGUCGUCAGCUCGUGUCGUGAGAUG
rnacentral:rRNA from 2 species